rnacentral:lncRNA from 1 species
GGAGGGGCGCGAGGUUUCAAGAUGGCGGUAGCUGAGGGGUUGACCGAGAGACCCAGUUGAAGGCCUUUACGAAGUGAAAGAGGCCGGGAGUCGCCCCCUACCCGCUUCUCGUAGUCCUGGGAGCACAGCAGAAGUGUUUUUCUUUUUUUAAUGAACAAGUAAACCAUACAAAUUGUCAACAUGGGACGGAGAUCUACAUCAUCCACCAAGAGUGGAAAAUUUAUGAACCCCACAGACCAAGCCCGAAAGGAAGCCCGGAAGAGAGAAUUAAAGAAGAACAAAAAACAGCGCAUGAUGGUUCGAGCUGCAGUUUUAAAGAUGAAGGAUCCAAAACAGAUAAUCCGAGACAUGGAGAAAUUGGAUGAAAUGGGUAAGAAUUUACAAACAGGCAGCUAUAACAGUCUGACACGUACAGAGGCAGGCAGGUAACGAGUGAAGCAGCAUAGGCGUAAGUAAAACAGAACAGCAUGAUGGCAUUUGAUGCUUGGAUUUAAUGUUAGUUUCAGGGAGACAAAAUGGAGUGCUAGAGGGCUGUUGCAAACUGGAGACCCCAGAUACCAGAAU